GUGGCGAACGGGUGAGUAACACGUGAGCAACCUACCCCUGACUCUGGGAUAACUCCGGGAAACCGGUGCUAAUACCGGAUAUGAGCAGCGGCCUCCUGGUCUGUUGUUGGAAAGAAUUUUGGUCAGGGAUGGGCUCGCGGCCUAUCAGCUUGUUGGUGAGGUAAUGGCUCACCAAGGCGACGACGGGUAGCCGGCCUGAGAGGGCGACCGGCCACACUGGGACUGAGACACGGCCCAGACUCCUACGGGAGGCAGCAGUGGGGAAUAUUGCACAAUGGGCGAAAGCCUGAUGCAGCGACGCCGCGUGAGGGAUGACGGCCUUCGGGUUGUAAACCUCUUUCAGCUCCGAAGAAGCGAAAGUGACGGUAGGAGCAGAAGAAGCACCGGCUAACUACGUGCCAGCAGCCGCGGUAAUACGUAGGGUGCAAGCGUUGUCCGGAAUUAUUGGGCGUAAAGAGCUCGUAGGUGGUUCGUCGCGUCUGCUGUGAAAGUCCGAGGCUUAACCUCGGAUCUGCAGUGGGUACGGGCGGACUAGAGUGCGGUAGAGGAGAUCGGAAUUCCUGGUGUAGCGGUGGAAU
rnacentral:rRNA from 1 species